CACCUGACCCCAUGCCGAACUCAGCAGUGAAACGCCGUAGCGCCGAUGGUAGUGUGGGGUCUCCCCAUGCGAGAGUAGGGAACUGCCA
rnacentral:rRNA from 1 species